UGAUAGUGCAGCCCUAAGUGGGUGGUAAACUCCAUCUAAGGCUAAAUAUAACCACGAGACCGAUAGCGAACAAGUACCGUGAGGGAAAGUUGAAAAGCACUUUGAAGAGAGAGUUCAAGAGUACGUGAAACCGUUUAGGGGUAAACCUGAGAAACCCGAAAUGUCGAAGGGAGAAAUUCAUUCGCGGCUCGACGCGGGGGACGCGCGAUCGCGUGACGGACGGCGCUUCGGUGCCGUACGCGCCUUUCGUGCGUCGAACCCGCGACGAACGUGUGCACUUUUCUCCUAGUAGGACGUCGCGAUCCGUUGGGCGUCGAUCUAAGGCUCGGGGUGGAGACCGUAGACGGCGGUUCGCGCCGUUUUCGUUUACGGACCCCCGCGUUCGCGAUCGACUCGCUCGACGGUAUACGAAUGGUUUAAGGCCGCUAUUUUUUUAGCGUCCGACUCGUUGCAAGCGCGUCAGAUGCAUGUCGGUAAUCGGACCUGGUGCCGUUUCUGACCUCUGAUGACUGUUGGCGACGAUGUUCUCGGACAGAGCCUAAAACCGAUCGGCGACGCUAUAGCUUUGGGUACUUUCG
rnacentral:rRNA from 1 species